rnacentral:rRNA from 1 species
UUUAAAGUCUGACCUGCCCAAUGAUUAUUUAAAUGGCCGCAGUAUCUUGACUGUGCAAAGGUAGCAUAAUCAUUAGUUUUUUAAAUGGAAGCUGGAAUGAAAGGUUUGAUAAAAAAAGAACUGUCUCAAUUUAAUAAUUAAAAUUUUAUUUUUAAGUUAAAAAGCUUAAAUUUUUUAAAAAGACGAGAAGACCCUAUAGAGUUUAAUAAUUUUAUUAUGAUUUUAUAUUUAGAUUAAAUUAUAUUUUAUAAAAAUAAUUAUUUUGUUGGGGUGAUAAAAAAAUUUAAAUAACUUUUUAAUUUAAAAACAUUAAUUUAUGAAUAGUUGAUCCUUAUUUUAAGAUUAUAAGAAAAAAUUACCUUAGGGAUAACAGCGUAAUUUUUUUUGAGAGUUCUAAUCGAAAAAAAAGUUUGCGACCUCGAUGUUGGAUUAAAAUUUAAUUUUGGUGUAGAAGCUAAAUAUUUAGGUCUGUUCGACCUUUAAAAUUUUACA